rnacentral:rRNA from 1 species
AGAGUGGGACCUUCGGGCCUCUUGCCAUCAGAUGUGCCCAGAUGGGAUUAGCUAGUUGGUGAGGUAACGGCUCACCAAGGCGACGAUCCCUAGCUGGUCUGAGAGGAUGACCAGCCACACUGGAACUGAGACACGGUCCAGACUCCUACGGGAGGCAGCAGUGGGGAAUAUUGCACAAUGGGCGCAAGCCUGAUGCAGCCAUGCCGCGUGUAUGAAGAAGGCCUUCGGGUUGUAAAGUACUUUCAGCGGGGAGG